GAUGAACGCUAGCGGCAGGCUUAAUACAUGCAAGUCGAGGGGCAGCGCAGUGUAGCAAUACAUGGGCGGCGACCGGCAAACGGGUGCGGAACACGUACACAACCUUCCUACAAGUGGGGAAUAGCCCAGAGAAAUUUGGAUUAAUACCCCGUAACAUAGCGAUGUGGCAUCACAUUGCUAUUAUAGCUUCGGCGCUUGUUGAUGGGUGUGCGGCUGAUUAGAUAGUUGGCGGGGUAACGGCCCACCAAGUCUACGAUCAGUAGCUGAUGUGAGAGCAUGAUCAGCCACACGGGCACUGAGAAACGGGCCCGACUCCUACGGGAGGCAGCAGUAAGGAAUAUUGGACAAUGGACGCAAGUCUGAUCCAGCCAUGCCGCGUGAAGGAUUAAGGUCCUCUGGAUUGUAAACUUCUUUUAUAAGGGACGAAAAAAGGUCUUUCUAGAUCGUCUGACGGUACCUUAUGAAUAGGCACCGGCUAACUCCGUGCCAGCAGCCGCCGUAACAC
rnacentral:rRNA from 1 species